rnacentral:rRNA from 1 species
AUUGAACGCUGGCGGCAGGCCUAACACAUGCAAGUCGAGCGAGCGGCGGACGGGUGAGUAAUGUCUGGGAAACUGCCCGAUGGAGGGGGAUAACUACUGGAAACGGUAGCUAAUACCGCAUACCAUCGGAUGUGCCCAGAGGGGAUUAGCUAGUAGGUGGGGUAACGGCUCACCUAGGCGAAGAUCCCUAGCUGGUCUGAGAGGAUGAUCAGCCAUACUGGGACUGAGACACGGUCCAGACUCCUCCGGAAGGCAUCAGUGGGGAAUAUUGCACAAUGGGAGCAAGCCUGACGCAGCCAUGCCGCGUGUGGGAAGAAGGCCUUAGGGUUGUAAAGUACUUUCAGCGGGGAGGCUUUACCCGCAGAAGAAGCACCGGCUAACUCCGUGCCAGCAGCCGCCGUAAUAC